rnacentral:lncRNA from 1 species
CUCUCCUGAAGUAGUCAAGUGAAGGAAAAGUCACAGGUUACAUAUAGAGAACUGGGAACAUCCAGUUGCAAGAGUGAGACCACAACAGGAGCUGGCGAAGAAGUGCAUGGAAGGCUGUUGCCUCUGCAUUGACUGUGGGUUUGGGGCUGCUGUUGGUCAGCAAGGCAGGCAGAAAAGGACACCAGCUGGAGUCAAGACAGAGGCAGGCGAGGACAAGCUAGAGCCCACAAGCAGUACAUCUACACUUCUCUCCUUCCGCACCAGCUACACAGAGAUUCAGUGAAACGGUCUCUAUUGAUAGCCAGAUCAGACUGUGAAUGAAUGACCUUUUAAAACAGCCAGGUGUUUAUCUCCCAGUGCAUCCUUCCCUCUCUUCAGGAUAAAUCUUGGACAGUUAAGCUUAUCCUCAUGAGGGAAUCCAUGUGACCAUUUUCCAGCCAUUCUGGGAGUCCUCUGAGCAGCCAGAACAGAAGCAUGGCCCAGCCUCCCCACAGCUGAGUCAGGCCCUUAUAUAAUGAGUCCUAUUGUUCCUCAAUAAAAGCAAUUUCUGUAUUUCAAGAUGUACGUCAAAGAAACAUUUAACGGCAACUCAAACACUGCAUUUUUCAAUACUGGGUUAAAUUCUUUUUUUUUUUUACAAUCAGUAAUUCAUUUACUUCAC